UGGGGAAUAUUGCGCAAUGGGCGAAAGCCUGACGCAGCGACGCCGCGUGGGGGAUGAAGCUUCUCGGAGUGUAAACCCCUUUCGACCCGGACGAAUGACCCGCAAGGGUUUGACGGUACGGGUAUAAGAAGCCCCGGCUAACUACGUGCCAGCAGCCGCGGUAAUACGUAGGGGGCCAGCGUUGCUCGGAAUUACUGGGCGUAAAGGGUUCGUAGGUGGUGCGGCAAGUUGGAAGUGAAAUCUCUGGGCUUAACCCAGAGGCUGCUUUCAAAACUGCCGUGCUCGAGUGCGAGAGAGGCCAGUGGAAUUGCAGGUGUAGCGGUGAAAUGCGUAGAUAUCUGCAGGAACACCCGUGGCGAAGGCGGCUGGCUGGAUCGCAACUGACACUGAGGAACGAAAGCUAGGGGAGCAAACAGGAUUAGAUACCCUGGUAGUCCUAGCCCUAAACCAUCGGAACUUGGGGUGGCCCGCGUAGGCGGGUCGUCCCGUAGCUAACGCGUUAAGU
rnacentral:rRNA from 1 species